rnacentral:tRNA from 2 species
GGCGAGGUGGCCGAGGGGUUAAGGCGAUGGGCUGUUAAUCCAUUGUGCUCUGCACGUAUGGGUUCUGAUCCCAUCCUCAUCG